rnacentral:rRNA from 1 species
UACAGGGGGGGCAAGCGUUGUUCGGAAUUACUGGGCGUAAAGGGUUCGUAGGUGGCCACCUAAGUCAGACGUGAAAUCCCUCAGCUUAACUGGGGAACUGCGUCUGAUACUGGGUGGCUUGAGUGCAGGAGAGGAAUGCGGAAUUCCAGGUGUAGCGGUGAAAUGCGUAGAUAUCUGGAGGAACACCGGUGGCGAAGGCGGCAUCCUGGACCGAGAUUGACGCUGAGGCGCGAAAGCUAGGGGAGCAAACGGG